GACGAACGCUGGCGGCGUGCUUAACACAUGCAAGUCGAGCGGAAAGGCCCUUCGGGGUACUCGAGCGGCGAACGGGUGAGUAACACGUGAGUAACCUACCUCGAACUCUGGGAUAAGCCUGGGAAACUGGGUCUAAUACCGGAUGUUCAUCUCCUGCUGCAUGGUGGGGGAUGGAAAGUGUUUAGCGGUUCGGGAUGGGCUCGCGGCCUAUCAGCUUGUUGGUGAGGUAAUGGCUUACCAAGGCUUUUACGGGUAGCCGGCCUGAGAGGGCGACCGGCCACACUGGGACUGAGAUACGGCCCAGACUCCUACGGGAGGCAGCAGUGGGGAAUAUUGCGCAAUGGGCGGAAGCCUGACGCAGCAACGCCGUGUGAGGGAUGACGGCCUUCGGGUUGUAAACCUCUUUCACCAGGGACGAAGCUUUUGUGACGGUACCUGGGGAAGAAGCGCCGGCCAACUACGUGCCAGCAGCCGCGGUAACACGUAGGGCGCGAGCGUUGUCCGGAAUUAUUGGGGCGUAAAGGGCUCGUAGGCGGGUUUGUCGCGUCGAAAGUGAAAAUCCCGGGGCUCAACUCCGGACUUGCUUUCGAUACGGGCAGGCUAGAGGUAGGCAGGGGAGAAUGGAAUUCCUGGUGUAGCGGUGGAAUGCGCAGAUAUCAGGAGGGACACCGGUGGCGAAGGCGGUUCUCUGGGCCUUACCUGACGCUGAGGAGCGAAAGCGUGGGAAGCGAACAGGAUUAGAUACCCUGGUAGUCCACGCUGUAAACGUUGGGCGCUAGGUGUGGGAGUCUUUUGUGACGUCCGUGCCGUAGCUAACCGCAUUUAGCCCCCCCGCCUGGGGAAGUACGGUCGCAAGACUAAAACUCAAAAGGAAUUGACGGGGGCCUGCACAAGCGGCGGAGCAUGUUGCUUAAUUCGAGGCAACGCGAAGAACCUUACCUGGGUUUGACAUGUGGGUUAAUCCGGCAGAGAUGUCGGGUCCUUUUGGGAACUCAUGCAGGUGGUGCAUGGCUGUCGUCAGCUCGUGUCGUGAGAUGUUGGGUUAAGUCCCGCAACGAGCGCAACCCUCGUCCUAUGUUGCCAGCACGUUAUGGUGGGGACUCAUAGGAGACUGCCGGGGUCAACUCGGAGGAAGGUGGGGAUGAUGUCAAGUCUUCAUGCCCCUUAUGUCCAGGGCUGCAAACAUGCUACAAUGGUCGGUACAAUGGGCUGCGAGACCGUGAGGUGGAGCGAAUCCCUAAAAGCCGGCCUCAGUUCGGAUCGGGGUCUGCAACUCGACCCCGUGAAGUUGGAGUCGCUAGUAAUCGCGGAUCAGCAACGCCGCGGUGAAUACGUUCCCGGGCCUGCACACACCGCC
rnacentral:rRNA from 1 species